rnacentral:rRNA from 1 species
AGGGCAAGUCUGGUGCCAGCAGCCGCGGUAAUUCCAGCUCCAAUAGCGUAUAUUAAAGUUGUUGCAGUUAAAAAGCUCGUAGUUGAAUUUCGGGAUCAAUCUAUCGGUCGUGCAAUCGUACGUACUGGUUUUAUUGAUUCCUCUCUUCUGAAGAACUAUGAUGUCAUUAAUUUGGUGUCAUAGGGAAUCAGGACUGUUACUUUGAAAAAAUUAGAGUGUUUAAAGCAGGCUCACGCUUGAAUACAUUAGCAUGGAAUAACGAAAUAGGACGUUUGAUUCUAUUUUGUUGGUUUCUAGGAUCGACGUAAUGAUUAAUAGGGAUAGUUGGGGGCAUUAGUAUUCAAUUGUCAGAGGUGAAAUUCUUGGAUUUAUUGAAGACUAACUACUGCGAAAGCAUUUGCCAAGGAUGUUUUCAUUAAUCAAGAACGAAAGUUAGGGGAUCGAAGACGAUCAGAUACCGUCGUAGUCUUAACCAUAAACUAUGCCGACUAGGGAUCGGAUGAUGUUAAUUUUUUAAUGACUCAUUCGGCGCCUUACGGGAA